rnacentral:rRNA from 1 species
UCCUGUUGAUCCUGCAGGAGAUUGCCGCUAUUAGGGUUCGAUUUAGCCAUGCAAGUCCAGGGGGCCUUCGGGUCACCGGCGAAAUGCUCAGUAACACGUUGAUAAUCUGACCUUGGGUCUGGGAUAACCUCGGAAAACUGAGGCUAAGACCGGAUAGGAGACCAGUUCUGGAAUGAAAUGUCUCUUAAAGGCAACGCCCAAGGAUGAGUCAGCGGCCGAUUAGGCAGUUGGUGGGGUAACGGCCCACCAAACCGACGAUCGGUAGGGGCCUUGGAAGAGGGAGCCCCGAGAAGGGAACUGAGAUACUGUCCCUAGCCCUACGGGGUGCAGCAGGCGCGAAACCUCUACAAUGCACGAAAGUGUGAUAGGGGAACCCUGAGUGCUCAGCUCUGCUGGGCCUUUGCCAAGAGUAAAAAUCUUGGCGAAUAAGCGGUGGGUAAGACUGGUGCCAGCCGCCGCGGUAACACCAGCGCCGCUAGUGGCAAUCGUUAUUAUUGGGCCUAAAGCGUCCGUAGCAUGUUCUGUAAAUCUCUUGUGAAAUUGUCGUGCUUAACGCGGCAGCAUGCAAGAGACACUGCAAGACUUGGGACCGGGAGGAGUCAGAGGUAUUUCGUGGGGAGCGGUAAAAUGCUAUAAUCCACGAAGGACCACCUAUGGCGAAGGCAUCUGACCAGAACGGAUCCGACUGUGAGGGACGAAAGCCAGGGGAGCGAACCGGAUUAGAUACCCGAGUAGUCCUGGCUGUAAACGCUGCGAGCUAGGUGUUGCACAAUCUUAGAGGUUGUGCAGUAUCGAAGCGAAGGUGAUAAGCUCGCCGCCUGGGAAGUACGGUCGCAAGGCUGAAACUUAAAGGAAUUGGCGGGGGAGCACUACAAGGGGUGCGGCGUGCGGUUUGAUCUAGCUUUACUCAGAGAAUCUCACCAGAAGCGACGGCACAAUGAAAGUCAGAUUGAAGGCUUUACUUGAGGAGCCGAGAGGUGGUGCAUGGCCGCCGUCAGCUCGUGCCGUAAGGUGUCCAGCUAAGCCUGGUAACGAGCGAGACCUGUGUCCACAAUUGCUAACAGGCGCUUUUGCGCGACUGAGCACAUUGUGGGGACUGCCCUGGAAACAGGGAGGAAGGUGCAGGCUACGGUAGGUCUGUAUGCCCCGAAUCUUCUGGGCUACACGCGCGCAACAAUGGUAUGGACAAUGGGAUGCGACUCCGAAAGGAGGAGCUAAGCCUCUAAACCAUAUCUAAGUUCAGAUAGAGGGUUGUAACCCACCCUCUUGACGAUGGAAUCCCUAGUAAUCGGGUGUUAUCAGCGCCCGGUGAAUACGUCCCUGCUCCUUGCACACACCGCCCGUCGAACCACUCGAGCAGGGUCUAGAUGAGGCUUGGUUUAAUUGAUCAUGUCGAAUCUAGGCUCAGUGAGAAGGGUUAAGUCGUCACAAGGUA